CCUACGGGAGGCAGCAGUGAGGAAUAUUGGUCAAUGGGCUUACGCCUGAACCAGCCAAGUCGCGUGAGGGAAGACUGCCCUAUGGGUUGUAAACCUCUUUUGUCAGGGAGCAACGCCGGCUACGUGUAGCCGGACUGAGAGUACAUGAAGAACAAGCAUCGGCUAACUCCGUGCCAGCAGCCGCGGUAAUACGGAGGAGGCGAGCGUUAUCCGGAUUUAUUGGGUUUAAAGGGUGCGUAGGCGGAAUGCCAAGUCAGCGGGAAAAUCGCGGGGCUCAACCUCGCUCCGCCGUUGAAACUGGCGUUCUUGAGUGGGCGAGAAGUAUGCGGAAGGCGUGGUGUAGCGGUGAAAUGCAUAGAUAUCACGAAGAACUCCAAUUGCGAAGGCAGCAUACCGGCGCCCAACUGACGCUGAAGCACGAAAGCGUGGGUAUCGAACAGGAUUAGAUACCCCGGUAGUC
rnacentral:rRNA from 1 species